GCUUGUCUCAAAGAUUAAGCCAUGCAUGUCUAAGUAUAAAGGUUAUACAAUGAAACUGCGAAUGGCUCAUUAAAACAGUUAUAGUUUAUUUGAUAAUCGAAAUUACAUGGAUAACCGUGGUAAUUCUAGAGCUAAUACAUGCUGGUUAGCCUGACUUUUAGGAAGGGCUGUAUUUAUUAGAUAACAAAUCAAUAUUCCUUGUGUCUAUUGUGACGACUCAUAAUAACUGAUCGAAUCGCAUGGACUUUGUCCGCGAUAAAUCAUUCAAGUUUCUGCCCCAUCAGCUUUCGAUGGUAGUGUAUUGGACUACCAUGGCUUUCACGGGUAACGGAGGAUUAGGGUUCGAUUCCGGAGAGGGAGCCUGAGAAACGGCUACCACAUCUAAGGAAGGCAGCAGG
rnacentral:rRNA from 1 species